rnacentral:lncRNA from 1 species
UCUUUUCCUUCUUCUCUUGGCCUUAAGCACCACCGCCUGCCAUCGGUUUCAUUGGAAAUCCAAUAAAAAAAAAUCCCCUGUUUCAUCUAUAUUUUGGCUGAUUUUUGUUCUUUUGUAUGGUUGUUUUCGCCAUUGGUGAUCAUCGUCGAGGUCUUUGGUCUCUCCCCUACAUCGGCCUCUAUUCCGGAGCCCCAACCACCAAUGAGCGGGCUGAGACCUGAGGACAAAUCGAGUAGAGCACCUCAAUUAGAGGUCUUAUUUUUUGCCUUUUUAUUGGCCGGCCACUUGCUGCCAGUCAUUCCCU